rnacentral:rRNA from 1 species
CCUACGGGCGGCAGCAGUGGGGAAUAUUGCACAAUGGGGGAAACCCUGACGCAGCGACGCCGCGUGAGUGAAGAAGUAUUUCGGUAUGUAAAGCUCUGUCAGCAGGGAAGAAAGUGACGGUACCUGAUUAAGAGUCACCGGCUAACUACGGGCCAGCAGCCGCGGUAAUACGUAGGGGGCGAGCGUUAUCCGGAUUUACUGGGCGUAAAGGGCGCGUAGACGGUGAUGCAAGUCAGAAGUGAAAGCCCGGGGCUCAACUCCGGGACUGCUUUUGAAACUGUGUGACUGGAGUGCAGGAGAGGUAAGCGGAAUUCCUGGUGUAGCGGUGAAAUGCGUAGAUAUCAGGAGGAACAUCAGUGGCGAAGGCGGCUUACUGGAAUGUAACUGACGCUGAGGAUCGAAAGCGUGGGGAGCAAACAGGAUUAGAUACCCUAGUAGUC